GCUCCUUUCUUUCCCUCACAAGAUGUGAGGAGAACCAAGUUAGGAUUAGGUUGACCUGUGAGUGACAAAACCAAAUAGAACAAUGACUUCCUAGAUGGAAGUCCAUUUCUCUCUGACAGAAACAAAGUCCAGAGCCAGGCAGGCAGCUCGGGGCUGGGACAGUUCUGCCUCGUUGCCUCACUGUCUUUGAUGCAUGGCUCUUCGUGAUUUAGGAUGAUUGCUCAGGCUCCAUAUUCAGGCCAAGGGGAAAGAGAAGGACAAAGAAAUACACACCCCAUCCUAAUUCUGUGGGUCAGGAGUUUGGAUACACUGCUGUGGGGACGGCUUGUCUCUGCUCCAUGGUAUCUCGGGCUGCAGCUGGAAGACUCGAAAGCUGUGAGACUGAAAUCAUCUGCAGACACUUUGAGCAGGGUCAGGACCAGGGUCCUAAUGUGGAAUUCAGCUUUGGGGCUGGGUAGAAGACUAGGAUGAAGUUGCUUCUCAUCUCUCUGCCCUGGCUAUGAGCAGGCGGCACCUGGGUCAGGAGUAUGAGGUGUGUGCUGGCCCUGCCUAGUUGGUCUGACAGCAUCUGCCUGCGACUUCUCAUGUCACCUCUGACUCCCCAGCCUGACCUCCACAGGCCCUGGUGCAUUGGCUUCAGCUGUGUCUUUUGUGAGUCAUCCUUGCUGCUUUGUUCCAGCCCCACCGAUGGGCCUCCCACCCUCCCCCAUACAGGACUUACUCACCAAUUGUGUCAUCAAUCCCUCUGAAAUGCACCCCCUCCUCCAGACAUCCACCUCCCCACAUCCUUCAUUAUUUUGUUUAAACUAACAAUGCCCCCCCCAACCCCCAUGAUUAAAAUAGUACAUGUUUGUUGUGGGAAAUCUGUAAUAUGCAAAAUGCAUACAAAAGAGAAUAAAAAGCACCGAUAAUUCCAUAACCCAAAUUAGCUAACAUUAUAUUCUAGUGGAUUUCCUUCUGGCAUUCUCCUCGCCAGAACUCCUUCCAGCUUCAGGCCUUCAUGUACACUUAUUGCUUCUUCUACCUGAAGUGGUGCUCUCUGCCUCUCCACUCCUUCAAUGUGUGAGCAAAUCUACUCAUCUUUAUUGUGGUAAAGGUCAUUCUUUCAGAGAAACCUUCCCUCUACCCCCAAGCUAGUCUCUUUAUUACACACUCACAAUACCCAGUACUUUUCCUUGUAGCACUCACCACAACUAGAAAUAAAUCAUCAUUUUUGUCCUCUUGUGUUGAAUGUCUGCCUAGCUACCUGACGUAAGGUCGGCGACUGGUUUUCUUGUUUACUCUGACGGCCUUAGCAUCCAUCACAGUGCCCUGUACUCAGAAAACACACAUCAUACCCAGAUGCCUUCCCAGAAUAAUCGUGUGCCUGCCUUCCCAGCACUUACAAUAAUCAAUUUAACAAAUGUAAUUAAUCAAUUACUAUGUGCCUGGCUUGGUUUCAAGUACAGUAUACCAAGCGAAAUGACCCAGUUCUUACUCUCAAGGAGGUCUCAGUCUUUUGAGGGAGACAGAUCAGUAACGGAAGCGUUCUAAUGUACAGCUAAGUAUACGGUGAUCAAUAGUGUUAGGUAAAGUGUGGAGGAGAGGUCCCUGAACAAUCCUGGGGAGGUGACACCAUUGUUUUAUCUUGUCUUGUUAAUGCAUUUACUUCACAGAAUCACAGGAUAAUGGAAUUGGAUGGCACUGUGAGAUCAGCAGGCCCAUCUCUUCCUGUAUAGAUGAGGAAACUAAAGUGGGGAAGGGUAGUAAAGCAACUUAGCCAAAGCCAUUGGGUAGCAGAUCUGGGAAUAGAACUUGGAUCUUUAGAUUCCCAGCCCAGGGUUUUUUCCACGGUACCUAGGGGCCUUUGGACUCCCCCUCUCCUCUCCUCCCAUUCUGUUAAUCCCCAAGUCCUUUGAUUUUCCCUGUGAAGGUCUCUCCAAUCUCUUCACUUUUCCUCACCUCCACAUCCCCAGGCUCUAAGCCUCCAACAUCAUCUCCAGCCUGAGCACCUACCCUCACCCUCUACCUCAUCUCUCUGCUUCUAGUCUUGCCCUGCUCAGAUCCCUUCUCCACUCUGCAGCCAGAAUGAGCCUCACAGAUGUAUGCAUGAGCAUGUCUGUCCCUGGCUUAGAACUCCAGUGGCUUCCCAUCAUGCUUUUAGAAAUAUACUCAAAAUUCUUAUAUGAUGUAUUAGUCAGCUCAGGCUCCCAUAACAAAAUACGCUAGACUAGGUGGUGUAAACAACAGAAGUUUAUUUCUCACAGUUCUGGAGGCUGAGAAGUCCAAGAUCAAAGUGCUG